GCACCACAAGAACGCGUGGAGCAUGUGGCUUAAUUUGACUCAACGCGGGAAAUCUUACCGGGUCCGGACACACUGAGGAUUGACAGGCAAUAUCUCAUGGUUAUUAACCCGGUUAUUACAUUUUGUUUAAUCGGUUAUUAAGCAUCGAGUGUUAAAUAUGCUAGUCCUUUCAUGAUUAUGUGAUAGGUGGUGCAUGGCCGUUCUUAGUUCGUGGAGUGAUCUGUCUGCUUAAUUGCGUUUCACUAAGGGCCCAUAAAUUCAAGGUAUGUUAGCUAUCGUCGCUCUAUGGACCCCUUAUACUCGAUUUCGCUUUAAUUAGCGUUAUUUGUUUAAUA
rnacentral:rRNA from 1 species